CUCGAGAAGCUUGAGCCAGACUCAGAAUAAGGUAGUGAUCAGAAACAUGUAGACCAGGCAUGAGGAGAAGCACAGGUGGCUUAUCUUUACUUAUGCAGACAGCUUAGCCCCGUUCAUUAGUGUCAUACAGCAUGGGGUGACCUACAGUUCAGGAAUGUCAUAUGGCAUAAGUUGAUCCCUGUUCAGGAGUGUCAAACAGCUUGGGGUUGACCCCCAAUCAGGAGUGUAAUACAGCAAGACGUGACUCACCUUUCAGGAGUGUAAUACAGAAAAAGGUGUCUCACCUUUCAG